GACGAACGCUGGCGGCGUGCCUAAUACAUGCAAGUCGAACGCUUCUUUCCUCCCGAGUGCUUGCACUCAAUUGGAAAGAGGAGUGGCGGACGGGUGAGUAACACGUGGGUAACCUACCCAUCAGAGGGGGAUAACACUUGGAAACAGGUGCUAAUACCGCAUAACAGUUUAUGCCGCAUGGCAUAAGAGUGAAAGGCGCUUUCGGGUGUCGCUGAUGGAUGGACCCGCGGUGCAUUAGCUAGUUGGUGAGGUAACGGCUCACCAAGGCCACGAUGCAUAGCCGACCUGAGAGGGUGAUCGGCCACACUGGGACUGAGACACGGCCCAGACUCCUACGGGAGGCAGCAGUAGGGAAUCUUCGGCAAUGGACGAAAGUCUGACCGAGCAACGCCGCGUGAGUGAAGAAGGUUUUCGGAUCGUAAAACUCUGUUGUUAGAGAAGAACAAGGACGUUAGUAACUGAACGUCCCCUGACGGUAUCUAACCAGAAAGACACGGCUAACUACGU
rnacentral:rRNA from 1 species